rnacentral:rRNA from 1 species
GACGAACGCUGGCGGCGUGCCUAAUACAUGCAAGUCGAACGCAGUGGGGACGGGUGAGUAACACGUGGGUAACCUCCCAUCAGAGGGGAUAACACUUGGAAACAGGUGCUAUACGGAUACGGUUGGAUGAACCCGCGGUGCUUUGGCUAGUUGGGGAGGUAACGGCUCACCAAGGCCACGAUGCAUAGCCGACCUGAGAGGGUGAUCGGCCACACUGGGACUGAGACACGGCCCAGACUCCUACGGGAGGCAGCAGUAGGGAAUCUUCGGCAAUGGACGAAAGUCUGACCGAGCAACGCCGCGUGAGUGAAGAAGGUUUUCGGAUCGUAAAACUCUGUUGUUAGAGAAGCGGUAUCUAACCAGAAAGCCACGGCUAACUACGUGCCAGCAGCCGCGGUAAUAC